CAAAGCGUAGCUUAAUACAUAAAGCCCCUUGUUUACACCAAGACUAUAUUUGUUUAAACCAAAUCGCUUUGA
rnacentral:tRNA from 1 species